UUGAUGAUUAGUCUUACAUAUAUUUUUUUUUCUUACACAUGGGUUAUUACUACACCACAUUUUUAUAUUUACUUAAUGUAACACCCCAUUAUCCUCCACUAAUAUUUUCUUUUCCCUACCACUAAUCUUUUUCCCUACCAUCACUAAUAUUUUCUUUUCCCUACCACUAAUCUUUUUCCCUACCACUACUCCUACCUCUCCACCACACUACUCCUUUUCCCCCACCACUACAUUCUUUCUCCCACUCUCACAACUUUUCUCCCACCAUUAUCACACUCCAUAGAAGCCUUUGAAGCCCCAAGAGAAGUAGCAAAGCAAGGGAGAGUGUGGGAAAACUAUAGAGUGAAGGUUGUGCUUCGAGGGUUGAGCAGGCGAUGGAAUGGAUCGGUGUUGAGCGGAUUUCCCUUUUGAUGUUUAUGUAAUGAAACCUUGAGUAUGCAUCUCCAUAUGCAUAACUCACACGUUUUUUUUCGCUGCAAACACUCUGACUUAUUUAUCAUUUCUACUUGAACUUAUUACUACUUCAUUUUAAUUAACUUUCAGUUGGGGUCUAAUCGUUAUGGCAGACUCAUUUGUGAAUUACCCAAGUGGUUAUAUAUAUAUACCACUAGUUUGUUAUUAA